CCACUAGGACUUGCCCUUGGUAAAGCUAUGCUGGUUAUCCCCUGUCACUUCUCACUCUUCCAUGUGCUCUAGCAUAGCUUCCAGCACGAUCUUCUCCAGGAUCUUCUCUGGUGCAAAGAGAACAGCCACGGCUUCAGGCUGAAUCCUGCAGGGUCAUCUACUUUCAACUCACUAACCUGGAUGCAGGUGCAGUCACCGACUGUCACAGGAAGAGGCAGAAAGAUGGUUGGUUGAAUUGACCUGCUUCUAGGAGCUUCUUUCAUGUUCUCUCCCAUUCUUCUCUAGCAUUAACGUCAAGUAAAUAAAUACAAGGUCCUCAGGUCCUUUCAUUUGUGACUGUGUCUGUGUUCGCUCUUCAGAUGUGCAGGUGAGUUUCUUGUCUUUU